rnacentral:misc_RNA from 1 species
AGCAGCCGCGGUAAUUCCAGCUCCAAUAGCGUAUAUUAAAGUUGUUGCAGUUAAAGAGCUCGUAGUUGAAUUUCGGGACCGGCUUACUGGUCGUGCUAUUGUGCGUACUGGUAUAAUCGGUUUCUCCUUUCUGACGAACUAUAAUGCCAUUAAUUUGGUGUUGUAGGGAAUCAGGACUGUUACUUUGAAAAAUUAGAGUGUUUAAAGCAGGCUCACGCUUGAAUACAUUAGCAUGGAAUAACGGAAUAGGACGUUUGAUUCUAUUUUGUUGGUUUCUAGGAUCGACGUAAUGAUUAAUAGGGAUAGUUGGGGGC